CGCACAUUGCGCCCAUUAGUAUUCUAGUGGGCAUGCCUGUUCGAGCGUCAUUUCAACCCUUAAGCCCCCGUUGCUUAGUGUUGGGAGCCUACGGCAGCGUAGCUCCCCGAAGUUAGUGGCGUGGUCGGUUCGCACUCCAGACGUAGUAGAUUUUCACCUCGCCUGUAGCCGGACCGGUCCCCUGCCGUAAAACACACCAAUUUCCAAAGGUUGACCUCGGAUCAGGUAGGAAUACCCGCUGAACUUAA
rnacentral:misc_RNA from 1 species